AGGCAUUUGGUCUAGUGGUAUGAUUUUCGCUUUGGGUGUGAGAGGUCUCAAGUUCGAUUCUUGGAAUGCCCC
rnacentral:tRNA from 1 species